rnacentral:rRNA from 1 species
CGGACGGGUGAGUAACGCGUGGGUAACCUGCCCUAUACAGGGGGAUAACAACCAGAAAUGGUUGCUAAUACCGCAUAAGCGCACAGGACCGCAUGGUUCGGUGUGAAAAACUCCGGUGGUAUAGGAUGGACCCGCGUUGGAUUAGCCAGUUGGCAGGGUAACGGCCUACCAAAGCGACGAUCCAUAGCCGGCCUGAGAGGGUGAACGGCCACAUUGAGACUGAGACACGGCCCAG